UACGGGGGGAGCAAGCGUUGUUCGGAUUUACUGGGCGUAAAGGGCGCGUAGGCGGUCAGCACAAGUCAGUUGUGAAAUCUCCGGGCUUAACUCGGAAAGGUCAACUGAUACUGUGCGACUAGAGUGCGGAAGGGGCAACUGGAAUUCUCGGUGUAGCGGUGAAAUGCGUAGAUAUCGAGAGGAACACCUGCGGCGAAGGCGGGUUGCUGGGCUGAUACUGACGCUGAGGCGCGAAAGCCAGGGGAGCGAACAGG
rnacentral:rRNA from 1 species